AUACAAGGAAAAGGUGACAGAAAAGCAAGAGAGGGAUCCGAGGAGUGCCGACCAGAGAGGCAGUUCAUGUAGCCUCAUUAGUAAAGCCCCCAGGGGCUGUGACUGUCCUGCGCGGGCUUCCAAGUCCACCUGAGAGUUCUGAUGCUGUGCUGACCCCAUGGCACAUCAGGGGCAGCGAGCCUGCUGUCCACACUGGCUGGGAGAAGCAGCAGCCAGGCAAGAGAACAACAAACAGGGUCAGGCAGCCACCCACCAAGAGGACAUGUGGAACCAGGCAGCACGCCAUUUGGAAAGCAAGUCUAUAUGGGAGUGGUCAUUAUCAUGGAAAGGAAAAAGAAUGGGAAAACACGAGAUUUAAGAAGGACCCAAUGCUGUUCUAGAAGCAUCUUCAGAAAGAGCAAUAAAGCUUCUUUGAGGAAGUCACAGGACACAGACUCUCCAGGGUGGAAGGGAUCUUGAAGAGCACAGAGGCCAAGUCCUCAUCCAUCUCUCGACUUCCUUCAUGACUCAUCUGAAGGCGGCUGGAUUGGUCUAUGUCUGUACCCUACCCUCACCCCACAGUCCCAGUCCACCCUAUCUCAGAACAAUUUCAAAUGCAGGGGAGGAUCAGAGAUGAAGAUGUUACUCCAACAGUAUACAUGCAAAGAUGUUCUGGAAGUGCUACUUCUUAACUUGUCUGGUCUUAUAGUCUGUGGUUGAAGUGAGUUUCUCCACUUCUAGAACGCUUUAGGUCUUGUUUCCUGUCCUCUUUGAAAAGUUUUAUUAAUACUUAUGUGCUGCCCUUCUAUUACUCCUACUUUCCACACCCUGGAAAGUAUACACGGUUCUAGAAUAUUCCAUUAGGAGGGCCAGUUUCUGCAUUACUAGUUUCCACAAGAGUUCAGCAACAAGAUUUCAAGGACUUUUCUUUUUAACGAUCUGAAAAUAAUGAAGAAUGACUCAUCAUACUAUAGGUGCCCUGUAUAUGCUUCAAAAUAAGUGUGUUUUUUGCUCAGUUCUUGUGCCUUCUCGGACCCUCAUGACAACAAUAGGAAUAAACCUACGUAGAAAGUCUAUCUCAGUAGUAAUGAUUGGGGCAACCGAAUGGACUCGACUGACUCAUAUUUCCCACACAUCUUUAAAUUUAUAGCUGGCCUCUGACUAUUUUAGAAAGCCUAUGAUUUGAACUUCAUCCAAGUUUUAACAGCAAUAAAAUUCCACAGGAAAUGGGUUCUUUAGAAUCCAAGAAAUGCACACUUAGGGUAUUGCCUACAAUCAAAUUAUUCUGCUGUUGGAGUUGUGUUGCUGGAGAGAAGACGAUCCCUUCUUCCCAGAAGAGGCCAUGUUUUCCCAUAUCACAACAUGCAUAGAAUUGGCACUGGUCAACACUAAACCUUCUACAAGCAUGAUGAGGACAACUUCUGAGCAGCAUCAUCAAGCUUGCCUCUCCUGGGCCACUACAACACCUGCCUCCCACCUUGACAAGCCCUGCGUCAGGCAGGCAUCAUCCCAAUUUGGCCUUGCAAGUUGUUACACGAACAUCCUUCAAGAGUGACGCCUGAAACAAUCAGUUGCCUUUUUGUCUCGCAAAAAGCCUUUGCUCUCCUCUCAGCUUAGAAUGUCCAUCCAUCACAGUUAGCAGGGCUGGGCCAGCACGGACCUCCAGAAUGUGCGAUGAGCUUUGUAGGCAAUUACCACUUUCUCCAAGGGCUCUGUAGGAUGAGGGUGAAGUGAAUGUCAUUGGAACGGUAGCAUUGUGGUCUAAAAGCUGCAUUCUGCCACAGAUCAACACGAUGAAAUGCUUAAUUUAGCCUACAAUUAUUUAUCUGUAUCACCGGCCAUGCCUCAACCACAUACUCCUCAAUAUGUAAACAACAAUAGAUUUAUCUGUUUUAUUUCUGAGAAGAUAAGAUAACCUGAGAAUUGCUUUAUAGAAUUUGUAGAAUGGACCCUCUCCUUGAGGCUGGUGGCUUCCCUUUCUGAAGCCAGGAUGAUUUUAUGACUCACUGGCAGAAGCAAAAUGACUCUGAGAUGCUUUCUUGGUGUGGGAGGAAUUGAGGCAGGGGGCAGGUGCCAAAAAUUUUGCAUAACCAAAAUGAACGAAAACAAAAUCCACAUGUAGGAAUGAAGGUAUUAAUCAGGAGGUAUUAGUCUUCAUGUAUUAGUGAGAAUUUUUAAUCCUUGUAACUCAGUUUGUCCUAGAAGAGCAAGUGGACAAUGGGCAUGGGUUUGUGGGCUUUAAUGAAGAUGUGAAGGUUAGUGUUUUGGUCCAUUUAGUGUUGCUAUAAAGGAAUACCUGAGGCUGGGGAAUUUAUAAAGAAAAGAGGUUUGUUUAGCUCAUGGUUUGCAGGCUGUACAAGAAGCAUGACACCAGCACCUGCUUCUGGCGAGGCCUCCGGGAGCUUCCACUCAUGGCAGAAGCGGAAGGGGAGCCAGUGUGUGCAGAGAUCACGUGGUGAGAGGGGAAGCAAGAGAGGAGGUUGGGGUGCCAGCCAUUUUUUAAAAAACCAGCUCUUAUGAGAACUAAUAGGGUGAGAACACACACAUCCCAAAUCCAGGGGUUCUAUUCAUGGGAACUAACAGGGUGACAACUCACACAACCCAGAAUCUAUUCAUGCCCCCAUGAGCCAAACAUCUCCCAUUAGGCCCCGCAUCGAAUAAUGGGGAUUGAAUUUCAACAUGAGAUUUAGAGGGGACAAACAUCCAAACUACGGCACUUAGAAAUAUAGCAUGCUCUGCAACUCACCAAGGGGUGCCAGUUUUGGGAAUGUAAAGGGAGGGCAGCAUGCAUGCCUGAGUGGGUGGGUGGGGUCUGGGACACACUGGGCUGCAGGAAGGAUGGACAGUGACCAAAAUAGGUACUUUUGUCAACUUAGCAUAAAUUAGCCCUGCAUUUGAUCCUGGGCAUCCCUGGAAGAUGUACCACCUGGUUGAUCUAUUCUGUUCUAUUCUGGUUACUUCCCACCUUGCCUGUAUAGGAGGCCCUUUAGACACCAUCUCUCAGUAAUCAUGGUUUGAUAAUCUCACCAGCUGUGGGAAGGGUGAGGCCCCUUUUUUGCUUCUGUUAACAGUUCAAUACCAGGAAAUGGUCCUCCUCCAAUUAAAAUUUUCUUUAAAAUAUUAAAUGAAAUAUUCUUUAACAUAUUAAACUAAAUAUUGGAUGUGUAAAAAUAUUUACACUACAUGAAAGGUGAAAUAACAGUAUGCUCAACAAUAAGCUUAAAAACUAGAACAUUUUCAGUAACUUUGAAGACCCCAUGAGUCCUUCCUUUUCCCCAAUAGACUACUAUUAUCGUGGGCUUAUAUUCCUUUUACGUUUUUUAUAGUAUUUAUAAUAGGUAUGUACUAUAUAUGUGUCUGUGUGUGUAUGUGUGUGUAAUCAACAUAUAGUUUAGGUCUGCAGGCCUCAAACAUCACAUCAGUGGAAUCACACUGUAUUAAUCUGUGAUUUGCUUUAGUUUUUUUGUCUAACACUAUGUUGCAGAGAGUCCUCCAUGGAGAAGUCUACUGCCGAGGUCCACUGAUUUUCACUGCCAUAUGAUAUUCCAUCGUGUGGCACGUGGAACAAUCAGGAUCAUAUUUCAACAGGAGAUCCCCACGUUGAUGUCUCAGUCUGGGGUAGACAUGGUAGGGCUGGUAGGAAGUGGUCUAAUUACUUCCAUUCCUCUGUUGGAACAUUUGGGUUGCUUUUGGGUGUUUUGUUAUUAAAAACACUGCUGCUGCUA